GAUGAACGCUGGCGGCGUGCCUAAUACAUGCAAGUCGAGCGAACAGACGAGGAGCUUGCUCCUCUGACGUUAUCGGCGGACGGGUGAGUAACACGUGGAUAACCUACCUAUAAGACUGGGAUAACUUCGGGAAACCGGAGCUAAUACCGGAUAAUAUAUUGACCCGCAUGGUUCAAUAGUGAAAUACGGUUUUUCUUUCACUUAUAGAUUGAUCCGCGCCGCAUUAGCUAGUUGGUAAGGUAACGGCUUACCAAGGCAACGAUGCGUAGCCGACCUGAGAGGGUGAUCGGCCACACUGGAACUGAGACACGGUCCAGACUCCUACGGGAGGCAGCAGUAGGGAAUCUUCCGCAAUGGGCGAAAGCCUGACGGAGCAACGCCGCGUGAGUGAUGAAGGUCUUCGGAUCGUAAAACUCUGUUAUUAGGGAAGAACAAAUGUGUAAGUAACUAUGCACGUCUUGACGGUACCUAAUCAGAAAGCCACGGCUAACUACGUG
rnacentral:rRNA from 1 species